AAUGAAGUCCAGCGUCAGUGAGAUUAUAUGUUAUGUGGUAUAUAAUGUUGGAUGUCAACUCCCCAAAACCAUAAAACUUACUUUAAUGGCACCACGUGACUUUCUAUAGCCAGUGAGCCUAUCUGUCUGUGCUAUGGAUGAUUUUACGAUCUAAUUCAUAGACAAAACCCUAUUCAUUUGGCACCCAAAUGUCAUAUAGCCGGAACUGGGGCUUAUAAAGUUUACUGUUUUCUAACUUUUAAAGGAAGGCAUCAAUGUAAGCAGGCAGUAAGUGUGCAAAUCUUUAGUUACUCUUAGAAGCUCAGAAGAGUUAACCAAUCGAGCUAUGGUGGGGACCUCUCUCCUGGAAAACCCGUACCAAACGAGAAGCUGGUCACUGCAACAGGGCUCUCUCUCCGUUUGAAAGAGCUCCGGUCGUUCUGACAGCUGUCGCUUUGCCCGCCGCCCGAGAGACGAAUCGCCCUCCUUUUGGUGCCAGAAGAAGCAGGAAAUUAGCCAGGUUGCAGUUGAAAAUCGGCCACUCCGCCGCUUGGAAUCCAGCA